ensembl:lncRNA
AAAGUGCUGCACGGCUAUCCUAGGUCAGCAAUGGACCGGGGCGUGUGAGCGGCUGACGUGAUGGGAGAGACAGAAGCAGUUUCAACAUGCUGGACUGACCGUGAAGUGAAGUGAACCUCGUUAACACAAGCUGCCAUGUAGUCUCUCUCGAUAAGGUGUGGUCAGGUGCCCCCAAGUGGAAAUAAGUGGAACAGCAUAUACAUUUCCGGAGGAACCAAUGGAGCUGGGACUAGAAAAUAUUUUGGAUAAAAAAAGUUGCCAUCAACAAGAAGUAAAUAGCAAUAGUAAAAGCCACAGUUAAUACAGCAAUCCCAGUCAAUACAUCAACCUUUUUAUUGACAAUGUUACCCACUGUGGUAAAUAUUACCCACUAUUUCUGAUAGAUUGCAUCAGAAUGGCCAAAAAAAUAUACAAAACUGUUUUUUGCACCUCUGAGGAAGAACUAAACUUCAAGAAUCUCAGGGUUUUGUCAAAUACACCAUAGCACCUUUAAUCAACAAUCAAUUCACAAUCAACAACUAUAUUAAUGACAACGACACAGGCCUAGAUAUACACAGCAGUAAAGUCUGGGGCAUUAUUCUGUGGAAGGGUGUUUUUCCAACAUUCAGAGGAAAAAGAAGAGUGUACAGAGACGGAUGUUUUAGUGCUCCCAGCUAGUGUUUGAUGUCAGCUCACGUCGUCGCUGUGCUUUUGUCAAGCCCUUAUCGCUUCCUCUGUCUUUAUCUGUCUCCAAGACAGCCAGGCCUCUAGCUACCUCCCUCACUGCUCCCCGGUCCCGUCUCUAUUGGUUUUGAGAUACGUCGGAAUAACCCGGAAUGUGAAUUCGACAAGUCGCUAACCCAUUCAGAAUCCCUUUAAUUCCCUUACAUGUAUAAGCACUAACAAAGUUACAGGCCUGCAUGCUUAAAGCCCCAUGUUAUAAAGAUCCCCGGAUGUUACUGAAUCUGUGGUGAGGAAUUUUUACCACGGUCUUGGUGUAAAUUAAGAUAAUAUGAUUUCCUAAUUUCUCUUCAACUCUAGUUCAAUAAGUUCAUUUUCUGUUUAUGUCCCCUUGUGUCAUAUUGCAUGUUAAAUAAAUGGGUGACCUUUGUGUAGGCCUACUGAUCAGGCUAUGAUGUUGAGUGAUAUUGCAAAG